rnacentral:lncRNA from 1 species
UUGGCCAAUUUCUCAGAUUAGGAGUUGAUAUAAACAUCAAUAUGCUCAAGGUAAUACACCCUACUUUGCAUAGUAAACCAUAUUGAGCUAUUGUGAAUGCAAAACAUCUUUAAUAACUGAAGAUGAUGUCACAACCCUACUUUGGUUUAUAGAUUACAAAGAGAUUGCCCAAUCUAGAAAAGAAAAGGUGGAUGCCAAACUGAAGAGUCGUGUGAUGUAAGCAGCUGGGAUGCUAAAAAGUUUGUGUAAGUUCUACUGGCUUACUCCCGAAUAUUAGCUUGCUCGAAUAGAAAAUGUCUCAGAAUCUUCUAAAAGAUCAUUUGUUGAUGUUAUUUGAGCAAAGAAGUGUGUAAUUUCCCAAUCUACAUUACUACUAAUGCUAUUUUGAUGUAAUGCUACAUUUGAUAUCUUCUAGCAUUCCUAUUAGAUUUUAUGUUACGUUUGAAUAGAGGGUUGCCAAGGGUCCUAUAGCUUAUAGACGCUAAUAUCUCAUUUUAUCAAGAUAGUUAAGACUUCUUGUACUAAAGUUUACUAUAUCAAUUUUGUACUAAAAAUUUACCCUGUUUUACUAAAUUAUCUUGCUACUAAUUUUUGCAUUGUUGUACUAAAAUUUUCCUUUCUACUAUUGUACUAGAAUUUAACCAUUGAGUAGGUAGGAAGAAUUCAACGGACCAAUAAUAAUGAUUAAGGAGCGCCCAGGAGAAAUCAAAUCACAAUCCACUCCCAAAACAUAACCAGUACAUGAUUCAUGAUAGAAUUGCACUAGACACAUGACAAUUGUAUAACUGCAUGUAGUAGAGUGUACCUGAUGCCUAUAUUGUUCCAUUUUAACUUGUUUGCAAAAACCAGUAUAUAAAUAUAUGUCUUGGUAAAUCACAUUGUGAGCAUGUAUCUCGGUACGUCAUUCAGGCACAUUCAAAUUUGGCCUUGUGUGAAUCAUUUUCUUUGAACAUAAAGUAUUUUUGAGUUGUGGAAAACCUUGCAUCUAUUUGUAUUUUCUAGAGAACUGUAGAUCUUUCUUUGAAACCAAACAAUGUGUUGUGUGUUAGCACAUGUUUAUUUAAGGGAAAUACCUCAUUUCUUACAGAGUAUAUUUGCCUUAAGGUCUACGUUGACUCAAUUGAUGACAUGUAGUAGAUUUUUUCAUAAGAAAACAAGGAUCAAAAGUGUUUGUCAGAUGUAGGCUAUUACUCUCCUUUUCUGCAUACAAAGCUACUAAUGUCAUGACCUUCAACCUCUUUAUGUUGCUCCUCCUUUACAUUUUGCUGAUCUAUUAACUUGAUUUUAUAUACAGUAAGUUACUUAUCUCGUUUCUUUGGUUUUGUAGAUUGUCAAGAUAAAAUGGAUAAUGCAUGGCUUGGAUGCUGAUUGCAAGGAUGAGAAUGGUGCUACAACAGGAUAAUUAGAAUGUCAUUUUCAGGAUGAUGUUUGAAACAUUAUAGUUGAUUGCAAGGUCUAGAAUUUGGCUACUACUUGAUAGUUUCACAUCUUGUAAUCUCUGGAUCCUGUUCUUUGUAAUGCAACAUAGUUGAUUUAAUAUAUGAGACCUUCCAGUUUAUUAUAUUGUGUCUCCUAUACAAUAGAUAUAUUGACCUUG